rnacentral:rRNA from 1 species
AGAGUUUGAUCCUGGCUCAGGACGAACGCUGGCGGCGUGCCUAAUACGUGCAAGUCGAGCGAACGAAGGGGAGCUUGCUCCCUAUUCGUUAGCGGCGGACGGGUGAGUAACACGUGGGCAACCUACCUGUAAGACUGGGAUAACUCGCGGAAACGUGAGCUAAUACCGGAUAACAUCUUCCUCCGCAUGGAGGAAGAUUGAAAGACGGCUCUGCUGUCACUUACAGAUGGGCCCGCGGCGCAUUAGCUAGUUGGUGAGGUAACGGCUCACCAAGGCGACGAUGCGUAGCCGACCUGAGAGGGUGAUCGGCCACACUGGGACUGAGACACGGCCCAGACUCCUACGGGAGGCAGCAGUAGGGAAUCUUCCGCAAUGGACGAAAGUCUGACGGAGCAACGCCGCGUGAGCGAAGAAGGUCUUCGGAUCGUAAAGCUCUGUUGUUAGGGAAGAAUAAGUACGAGAGUAACUGCUCGUACCUUGACGGUACCUAACCAGAAAGCCACGGCUAACUACGUGCCAGCAGCCGCGGUAAU